rnacentral:rRNA from 1 species
UGGGGGAUAUUGCACAAUGGGCGAAAGCCUGAUGCAGCGACGCCGCGUGGGGGAUGAAGGCCUUCGGGUUGUAAACUUCUUUUGCUCUGAACAAGGCAUGCCUUUGGGGUGUGUUGAGUGUAGGGGUUGAUUAGCGCCGGCUAACUACGUGCCAGCAGCCGCGGUAAUACGUAGGGCGCGAGCGUUGUCCGGAAUUAUUGGGCGUAAAGGGCUUGUAGGUGGCUGGUUGCGUCUGUCGUGAAAGCUCAUGGCUUAACUGUGGGUUUGCGGUGGGUACGGGCUGGCUUGAGUGCAGUAGGGGAGGCUGGAAUUCCUGGUGUAGCGGUGGAAUGCGCAGAUAUCAGGAGGAAUACCGGUGGCGAAGGCAGGUCACUGGGCCGUUACUGACACUGAGGAGCGAAAGCGUGGGGAGCGAACAGG